rnacentral:rRNA from 1 species
GACGAACGCUGGCGGCGUGCUUAACACAUGCAAGUCGAACGGAAAGGCCCUGCUUUUGUGGGGUGCUCGAGUGGCGAACGGGUGAGUAACACGUGAGUAACCUGCCCUUGACUUUGGGAUAACUUCAGGAAACUGGGGCUAAUACCGGAUAGGAGCUCCUGCUGCAUGGUGGGGGUUGGAAAGUUUCGGCGGCUGGGGAUGGACUCGCGGCUUAUCAGCUUGUUGGUGGGGUAGUGGCUUACCAAGGCUUUGACGGGUAGCCGGCCUGAGAGGGUGACCGGCCACAUUGGGACUGAGAUACGGCCCAGACUCCUACGGGAGGCAGCAGUGGGGAAUAUUGCACAAUGGGCGGAAGCCUGAUGCAGCAACGCCGCGUGCGGGAUGACGGCCUUCGGGUUGUAAACCGCUUUCGCCUGUGACGAAGCGUGAAUGACGGUAAUGGGUAAAGAAGCACCGGCUAACUACGUG